UUUAGUUGAGACUGGGCCACUGAAUCUCCAUAGAAAUCUCAGCGGAUUUGACCCAUAGAGGAUGAGAAUUAGAAUAUUGUACAGAAGAGAUAUGCAAGUACCUCUGUGAACAAAAAAUGUCUCUUCUUUGCUGUGUUUUCCUGGUGGGAAAUCUUAGCUACAGUAGCUGUCUCAGAAAACUUUUUGACCUAAACAAUCAUCAGAGGAAACAAAUGCCUUGAAAGUAGUCCUUGUGGUUUGUGCAUGGGCCGCUUGCAGCAGAGCCCUGUAAAGAAGAGCAGUCCCUUGAAAGCUGGAGCCAGUGGUGUUCUCUCACAGGAACAUGUGAGCACUUGUGGGACUUCAAGCAAUGUAUCCUCCAUUUGAUGGGUUAGGCAGAUGAGUCACGAGCUGCACAAAAGUCAGUUUUCUGUGAAGUGUGCAGCAAAGCUCUGAUGCUUGGGGUGCCCAGAAGACUGUUCUGUUAAUCACCCAUCCCUAAUCUAGAGCUUUUAAAGAGGUUAUAGGCAUUGCUGUAACGGUCGCUGACCUGAAGUUAUUGGGUCAUGUCUGAUACAAUCCGUGCUGCACUCAGACACAUUGAAGGUAAGGUGUUCAUGGCUGCUUUUAAACCUGAAGAAAGCAAGAACCCCAUGUUUUAAUUUGCCCUGCCUCACAUUAGAGGGCCAUCUCAGUCCUCCGCAGGAGUGAAGGGAGUCUCCGUAAGGCAGCCCUUUUCGUUUGGUGAGAGGAUUGGAUCACAAAUUAAUUCACAGCCUAAUUUCCGCAUUGUAAGCUUCAGGCCUUUACCUCUGUGUAACGUUUCACAAACUGUUCAGUGGGCCUAGAGACAAUUUUUGUGGCUGUACCUGUUUUCUUACUCAGGCCUGUUUGAUCCUUCACGAGACUCCAUUGGCUCGAGCUGUCUGUAGUAUACGUCUGUGUGGGGAAUAUGAAUAUUGACAUGUUGUUCGUGAAUGCUGAAAUCUGUGCAGAGCUGAAAGU
rnacentral:lncRNA from 1 species